CCCAGGUGUAUUUGCCCCAUUUCAACAUCCAUCUCUCAUGCUUAAAUAUUUGCUUUAACAAAUGCAAAGUUUCCCUAGAUUUGGCAGUGCACAGGGUUCUUUUUAUACACAUAAUUUCUCUACCUCUCAUGCAUUGUAGCAGCUUUCCCAUCUUUGGAACCGUUCCAGAGAGCACCUGUAUGCACUUGCUGAUUUGUGAAAUGCCAGGAUGGGUUAUGCCAGGAGGUCUGUGGCUCUAUCUGAACCUGCACAGAGGCCCUCCUCUCGCCCCCACCCACCUCAUGCUCAAACAUUCAUUUAGACAACAGUAUCCUCUUUACCAUCAAAAGCCUGUUGUUGUUUCCUGUGAAACAGCUCAGGUGCCAAACACAACCCCAGUGCAGCCUGCGGAAAUGGUGUCUCUCACUGGGGAUGCUGAGCAUACAUAAAAGCGGGCUGUGUUUUUCCGAGGCACCUGCCAGAACCUCACUGACAUUUUCAGCACGGGAAAAUAUUUGGCAUUGGACAGCUGUUCAGAAGCUUUUCCCCUUGUAGGUAGUAGAGAAUGUUCCCUUCUUUAAAUAUAUUUAUAUAAUUCUUUUGGGCCUACACAUACCUGAAAGGUUUCAUUUUUUCAUAGCUGUGAAGGCCAGGGGGUUUACUUUUUCAGUUCCUAUUUGUUCUCUUAUUCCUCACAGUGAAUGUUUCCAGUUCUUUUUAGCCUGCCUUUCCAACAACCUGUGCUGCAGGAUGCUGUUUGUCUUUGCUCUGUCUUCCGAAAAGUCAUCUCAGAAGCGUAACAUCUCUAUUUAUCAGACUUACAUUCUUCUAAGUGCAUCUCAUACCAUGCCUUUUCUUUCUCUUCCAUCUUAACCAGUCAUAAAAUGCAAGGAGAUAAGAUCAUUCCUGCCAAUGCCCAGGCAUUUCAAUUUUCCAUCUUUUCUGUCCAUCAGCAGUCCAAGGUCAUGAUGUUCAAUUGGCUCACCUUCUUGUAUUUAGUGUAAAAUUAACAAAUUCCCCACUUGGCUUCGAAAUUUUAGUGAGGGGUCAGUUGAUGGUUUAACUACAGCUUAUACAAAGAAUUCCUAAAAGGUAGUUGGCCCUGUGUUUUUCACCUUUGAGUCCCGUACAGUUUACUGACAUUGGUAAAAAGACAGUCCAGAGCAGUUGAAAAUGCCAGGAAGUAUCUUGGCUUAUGGUCAUGCCAUUCUACCCAGGUCUGUGGGCUUUUAUCUGUAUUUUAAAUUUUCUGUGAAGUCUACUGAAUAGAUAACAUAAAUUUCAUCCACAAGCCCUUAUAGAUGAUGGCCACAUAUCCUGUGCACCUUGCUAUUAACUGUAUUCUUCACAUGGCAACGUAUGGUUGCUCUGUUAUGGUUUUCCAUAUAUUAAGGAUUUCCAACAGUCUCUCUUAAGUGCAUUGGAGUUGUUAAUCUGUCAUCUCACACC
rnacentral:lncRNA from 1 species